rnacentral:rRNA from 1 species
CGCUAUGCAUGCAGUCGACGGGCGAAGGGGCUUCGGCCCCCUAGCUAGUGGCAGACGGCUGAGUAACACGUAAGUGAUCUGCCCCGGAGAGGGGGAUAAGCCGGAGAAAUCCGGUCUAAUACCUCGUACGCUCUCUAAGUUACGGCGUAGAGAGGAAAGGCUCCGGUGCUCUGGGAGGAGCUUGCGGCCUAUCAUGGUUGUUGGUGGGGUAAAAGCCUACCAAGCCGAAGACGGGUAACCGGUGUGAGAGCACGAUCGGUCAGAGGGGGACUGAGACACGGCCCCCACUCCUACGGGAGGCAGCAGCAGGGAAUCUUGCGCAAUGGGCGAAAGCCUGACGCAGCGACACCGCGUGGGGGAUGAAGGCUUUCGAGUUGUAAACCCCUUUUCCCGGGGAUGAGAAAGGACAGUACCCGGGGAAUAAGGUUCGGCUAACUACGUGCCAGCAGCCGCGGUAACACGUAGGAACCGAGCGUUGUCCGGAUUUACUGGGCGUAAAGAGCGCGUAGGCGGUCCGUUAAGUCUCAUGUGAAAUCUCCCGGCUCAACUGGGAGGGGUCAUGGGAUACUGGCAGACUUGAGUACCGCAGAGGGGAGCGGAAUUCCCGGAGUAGUGGUGGAAUGCGUAGAUACCGGGAGGAACACCAGAGGCGAAGGCGGCUCCCUGGGCUGUAACUGACGCUGAGGCGCGAAAGCGUGGGUAGCAAACCGGAUUAGAUACCCGGGUAGUCCACGCCCUAAACGAUGGAUACUAGGUAUGGGGGGUAUCGACCCCCUCCGUGCCGCAGCUAACGCAUUAAGUAUCCCGCCUGAGGAGUACGGCCGCAAGGCUAAAACUCAAAGGAAUUGACGGGGACCCGCACAAGCAGCGGAUCGUGUGUUUAAUUCGAUGCAACGCGAAGAACCUUACCAGCCCUUGACAUGCAGGGUCGCGAAACCGGAGACGGUUUCCUUCAGUUCGGCUGACC